UGACAGGUGGUGCAUGGUUGUCGUCAGCUCGUGUCGUGAGAUGUUGGUUAAGUCACGCAACGAGCGCAACCCUCGACCUUAGUUGCCAGCAUUCAGUUGGGCACUCUAAGGUGACUGCCGGCUAAAAGUCGAAGGAAGGUGGGAUGACGUCAAAUCAUCAUGCCCCUUAUGACCUGGGCUACACACGUGCUACAAUGGGCGGUACAAAGGGUCGCGAACCCGCGAGGGGGAGCCAAUCCCAAAAAGCCGCUCUCAGUUCGGAUUGCAGGCUGCAACUCGCCUGCAUGAAGCCGGAAUCGCUAGUAAUCGCGGAUCAGCAUGCCGCGGUGAAUACGUUCCCGGGCCUU
rnacentral:rRNA from 1 species